rnacentral:rRNA from 1 species
GCCGGCAGCUAGCUCUCUGUAGCUCUCACAUGGUCGCCCACUGAAGGUAAGCAGGGCUCCACCCGGUCAGUACCUGGAUGGGAGACUACAUUGAAGUACUAGGUUGCUGCUGAAA